rnacentral:rRNA from 1 species
GUACCUUUUGUAUAAUGGGUCAGCGACUUAUAUUCUGUAGCAAGGUUAACCGAAUAGGGGAGCCGAAGGGAAACCGAGUCUUAACUGGGCGUUAAGUUGCAGGGUAUAGACCCGAAACCCGGUGAUCUAGCCAUGGGCAGGUUGAAGGUUGGGUAACACUAACUGGAGGACCGAACCGACUAAUGUUGAAAAAUUAGCGGAUGACUUGUGGCUGGGGGUGAAAGGCCAAUCAAACCGGGAGAUAGCUGGUUCUCCCCGAAAGCUAUUUAGGUAGCGCCUCGUGAAUUCAUCUCCGGGGGUAGAGCACUGUUUCGGCAAGGGGGUCAUCCCGACUUACCAACCCGAUGCAAACUGCGAAUACCGGAGAAUGUUAUCACGGGAGACACACGGCGGGUGCUAACGUCCGUCGUGAAGAGGGAAACAACCCAGACCGCCAGCUAAGGUCCCAAAGUCAUGGUUAAGUGGGAAACGAUGUGGGAAGGCCCAGACAGCCAGGAUGUUGGCUUAGAAGCAGCCAUCAUUUAAAGAAAGCGUAAUAGCUCACUGGUCGAGUCGGCCUGCGCGGAAGAUGUAACGGGGCUAAACCAUGCACCGAAGCUGCGGCAGCGACGCUGAUGCGUUGUUGGGUAGGGGAGCGUUCUGUAAGCCUGUGAAGGUGUGCUGUGAGGCAUGCUGGAGGUAUCAG